UACAGAGGUCUCAAGCGUUGUUCGGAUUCAUUGGGCGUGAAGGGUGCGUAGGUGGCAUGGUAAGUCGGAUGUGAAAUCCCGGGGCUCAACCCCGGAACUGCAUUCGAUACUGCCAGGCUAGAGUACUGGAGAGGAGAUUGGAAUUUACGGUGUAGCAGUGAAAUGCGUAGAUAUCGUAAGGAAGACCGGUGGCGAAGGCGGAUCUCUGGACAGUUACUGACACUGAGGCACGAAGGCCAGGGGAGCAAACGGG
rnacentral:rRNA from 1 species